GGGUUGUGAGGUUAAGUGACUAAGCGUACACGGUGGAUGCCUAGGCAGUCAGAGGCGAUGAAGGACGUGCUAAUCUGCGAUAAGCGUCGGUGAGCUGAUAUGAAGCAUUAUUAGCCGGCGAUGUCCGAAUGGGGAAACCCAGUGCAAUCCGUUGCACUAUCGUUAAGUGAAUCCAUAGCUUAACGAGGCGAACCAGGGGAACUGAAACAUCUAAGUACCCUGAGGAAAAGAAAUCAACCGAGAUUCCCCCAGUAGCGGCGAGCGAACGGGGAAGAGCCCAGAACCUGAAUCAGUUUGUGCAUUAGUGGAAGCGUCUGGAAAGUCGCGCGAUACAGGGUGAUAGCCCCGUACACGAAGGUGCACAGCUGUGAGUUCGAUGAGUAGGGCGGGACACGUGUUAUCCUGUCUGAAUAUGGGGGGACCAUCCUCCAAGGCUAAAUACUCCUGACUGACCGAUAGUGAACCAGUACCGUGAGGGAAAGGCGAAAAGAACCCCGGCGAGGGGAGUGAAAUAGAACCUGAAACCGUGUACGUACAAGCAGUGGGAGCACCCUUUUGGGUGUGACUGCGUACCUUUUGUAUAAUGGGUCAGCGACUUAUAUUUUGUAGCAAGGUUAACCGAAUAGGGGAGCCGUAGGGAAACCGAGUCUUAACUGGGCGUCUAGUUGCAAGGUAUAGACCCGAAACCCGGUGAUCUAGCCAUGGGCAGGUUGAAGGUUGGGUAACACUAACUGGAGGACCGAACCGACUAAUGUUGAAAAAUUAGCGGAUGACUUGUGGCUGGGGGUGAAAGGCCAAUCAAACCGGGAGAUAGCUGGUUCUCCCCGAAAGCUAUUUAGGUAGCGCCUCGUGAACUCAUCUUCGGGGGUAGAGCACUGUUUCGGCUAGGGGGUCAUCCCGACUUACCAACCCGAUGCAAACUACGAAUACCGAAGAAUGUUAUCACGGGAGACACACGGCGGGUGCUAACGUCCGUCGUGAAGAGGGAAACAACCCAGACCGCCAGCUAAGGUCCCAAAGUCAUGGUUAAGUGGGAAACGAUGUGGGAAGGCACAGACAGCCAGGAUGUUGGCUUAGAAGCAGCCAUCAUUUAAAGAAAGCGUAAUAGCUCACUGGUCGAGUCGGCCUGCGCGGAAGAUGUAACGGGGCUAAACCAUGCACCGAAGCUGCGGCAGCGACGCUUAGGCGUUGUUGGGUAGGGGAGCGUUCUGUAAGCCGUUGAAGGUGGCCUGUGAGGGCUGCUGGAGGUAUCAGAAGUGCGAAUGCUGACAUAAGUAACGAUAAAGCGGGUGAAAAGCCCGCUCGCCGGAAGACCAAGGGUUCCUGUCCAACGUUAAUCGGGGCAGGGUAAGUCGACCCCUAAGGCGAGGCCGAAAGGCGUAGUCGAUGGGAAACAGGUUAAUAUUCCUGUACUUGGUGUUAUUGCGAAGGGGGGACGGAGAAGGCUAGACCGGCCGGGCGACGGUUGUCCCGGUUUAAGCGUGUAGGUGUGAUGACCUGGCAAAUCCGGUUAUCUUUAACACUGAGGCGUGAUGACGAGGCACUACGGUGCUGAAGUGGUUAAUGCCCUGCUUCCAGGAAAAGCCUCUAAGCUCCAGAUAACACUGAAUCGUACCCCAAACCGACACAGGUGGUCAGGUAGAGAAUACCAAGGCGCUUGAGAGAACUCGGGUGAAGGAACUAGGCAAAAUGGUGCCGUAACUUCGGGAGAAGGCACGCUGGCAUGUAGGUGAAGUCCCUCGCGGAUGGAGCCGAAGCCAGUCGAAGAUACCAGCUGGCUGCAACUGUUUAAUAAAAACACAGCACUCUGCAAACACGAAAGUGGACGUAUAGGGUGUGACGCCUGCCCGGUGCUGGAAGGUUAAUUGAUGGGGUCAGCCGCAAGGCGAAGCUCUUGAUCGAAGCCCCAGUAAACGGCGGCCGUAACUAUAACGGUCCUAAGGUAGCGAAAUUCCUUGUCGGGUAAGUUCCGACCUGCACGAAUGGCGUAAUGAUGGCCAGGCUGUCUCCACCCGAGACUCAGUGAAAUUGAACUCGCUGUGAAGAUGCAGUGUACCCGCGGCAAGACGGAAAGACCCCGUGAACCUUUACUAUAGCUUGACACUGAACAUUGAACCUUGAUGUGUAGGAUAGGUGGGAGGCUUUGAAGUGUGGACGCCAGUCUGCAUGGAGCCGACCUUGAAAUACCACCCUUUAAUGUUUGAUGUUCUAACCUGGUCCCGUGAUCCGGGAUAGGGACAGUGUCUGGUGGGUAGUUUGACUGGGGCGGUCUCCUCCCAAAGAGUAACGGAGGAGCACGAAGGUUAGCUAAUCCUGGUCGGACAUCAGGAGGUUAGUGCAAAGGCAUAAGCUAGCUUGACUGCGAGAGUGACGGCUCGAGCAGGUGCGAAAGCAGGUCUUAGUGAUCCGGUGGUUCUGAAUGGAAGGGCCAUCGCUCAACGGAUAAAAGGUACUCCGGGGAUAACAGGCUGAUACCGCCCAAGAGUUCAUAUCGACGGCGGUGUUUGGCACCUCGAUGUCGGCUCAUCACAUCCUGGGGCUGAAGUAGGUCCCAAGGGUAUGGCUGUUCGCCAUUUAAAGUGGUACGCGAGCUGGGUUUAGAACGUCGUGAGACAGUUCGGUCCCUAUCUGCCGUGGGCGUUGGAAGAUUGAGAGGGGCUGCUCCUAGUACGAGAGGACCGGAGUGGACGCACCGCUGGUGUUCGGGUUGUGAUGCCAAUUGCAUUGCCCGGUAGCUACGUGCGGAAAAGAUAAGCGCUGAAAGCAUCUAAGCGCGAAACUUGCCUCGAGAUGAGUCUUCCCUUGGACCUUGAGUCCACUGAAGGAACGUUUAAGACUAAGACGUUGAUAGGCUGGGUGUGUAAGCGUAGCGAUACGUUGAGCUAACCAGUACUAAUGAUCCGAGAGGCUUAACCUUACAACACCGAAGGUGUUUUAG
rnacentral:rRNA from 1 species